rnacentral:rRNA from 1 species
CCUACGGGAGGCUGCAGUGGGGAAUAUUGGACAAUGGGGGCAACCCUGAUCCAGCCAUGCCGCGUGUGUGAAGAAGGCCCUCGGGUUGUAAAGCACUUUCAGUGAGGAAGAACGCCUGGUGGUUAAUACCCAUCAGGAAAGACAUCACUCACAGAAGAAGCACCGGCUAACUCCGUGCCAGCAGCCGCGGUAAUACGGAGGAUGCGAGCGUUAAUCGGAAUUACUGGGCGUAAAGCGCGCGUAGGUGGCUUGAUAAGCCGGUUGUGAAAGCCCCGGGCUCAACCUGGGAACGGCAUCCGGAACUGUCAAGCUAGAGUGCAGGAGAGGAAGGUAGAAUUCCCGGUGUAGCGGUGAAAUGCGUAGAGAUCGGGAGGAAUACCAGUGGCGAAGGCGGCCUUCUGGACUGACACUGACACUGAGGUGCGAAAGCGUGGGUAGCAAACAGGAUUAGAUACCCCUGUAGUC